AAAAAUAUCACUCACUGCGUCAGAGCGACUACUAUGUGGAUCAAUUGUUCUUAAUGAAAGUGAAUUACAUAUAUCAUGAUCGCCUAUAUUCUCGUAAUUACAUGCACUCUGCAAUUUACCCCAGCCAAUCUUUUCGAAUUUAACAUGAACGUAGAGCAGUUACAAAAAUUUGCCGCAAGCGCUCAAAACUACUGUGCCAAAACAAUCGAUAUAACACCGGUCAACAUUGCCAGCGGGACUGACAAUGAAAAGUUUCAAUCUUGUUAUCUGAAGGAGUGGCACCGGUUGCAAAACAUUGUUGAUGAAAAUUGUCCUGAACUCCAAGGGAAUUCGUUACAUGAAAAGAGGAGUUAUUACUUGCAGUGUUUCGAUGAUGGUAUAAAUGCAAUGGUUCAGAAUUAUGAGAAAAUUCUACCAUAAAUGGUUGCAUGGUGACCGUUAGAUCCCUCCGUAAUAUAUUAAUAUUAACACAAUCAAAAUUAGACUCGAGUUGCGAAAUCAAUAGAAAACUUGCCUGAAAUUGAUUAAUAAAUCAAUGACGGCGAUAUAAGACGGAGCCUUGUAAAUAUUGUACUUAACAAAUAAUAAGAGUAAAAUGCCCCUGUUCCUCAAAAAUCUUCUUUUCGUCCACUUUACAUAUUACCUACCAUUGUAUUUUUAUAAAUACAAUGAUAUUACCUACUGCCUGUAGAGAAGAAAGAAUUGUGGCAAUUAGAAGAACCGCCCAUGGAUUCUUCGUCCAGACGUCCUCCCUUCUUCCGACACUUCGUUUUUGGGAUAUUCGUUCUCAGCAAUAGAUAUUCGCUCUUAAAGUUUUGACACCACCGAUGGAUAAUCAGACGUCCUAAUUUUUGUGAGUAUUUACCCUCUUCCAACAUUCCGCUAUGAGAUAUGAGGAAUGAUAGCCGAUCACGAUAAGGGAUCGAGGACUGUGGUUGGUAGAAAUGAAUUCCUUUCGUUGGGACCUUUUAUUGCCAUAAAGCGAGACAAUUUGUUUGUUGCAUGUAAAAGUUAUUGCGAAAAGUAGCACGUUCUUUUCAUUCUUAAAAAAUGCGCUAAAAAUAGAUUCGGUACUAAGCACAGUUCACAAUUAAUACUAGUAGCUCACAUGAGUAGGAAACCUAUAUCGAAAUUGUUUUGACUGAAAUAAAUAAAUUCUAUAAUGUCCUCGAUUUCCACUUUCAUCCCGCUCAUGAUACAG